rnacentral:rRNA from 1 species
GACGAACGCUGGCGGCGUGCUUAACACAUGCAAGUCGAACGGAAAGGCCCUGCUUUUGUGGGGUGCUCGAGUGGCGAACGGGUGAGUAACACGUGAGUAACCUGCCCUUGACUUUGGGAUAACUUCAGGAAACUGGGGCUAAUACCGGAUAGGAUCUCCUGCUGCAUGGUGGGGGUUGGAAAGUUUCGGCGGUUGGGGAUGGACUCGCGGCUUAUCAGCUUGUUGGUGGGGUAGUGGCUUACCAAGGCUUUGACGGGUAGCCGGCCUGAGAGGGUGACCGGCGACAUUGGGACUGAGAUACGGCCCAGACUCCUACGGGAGGCAGCAGUGGGGAAUAUUGCACAAUGGGCGGAAGCCUGAUGCAGCAACGCCGCGUGCGGGAUGACGGCCUUCGGGUUGUAAACCGCUUUCGCCUGUGACGAAGCGUGAGUGACGGUACUGGGUAAAGAAGCACCGGCUAACUACGUG